GAUGAACGCUGGCGGCGUGCCUAACACAUGCAAGUCGAACGGAGUCGUUUUGGCAAUCUCUUCGGAGAUGGAAUUCUCGACUUAGUGGCGGACGGGUGAGUAACGCGUGAGCAAUCUGCCUUUCAGAGGGGGAUAACAGUCGGAAACGGCUGCUAAUACCGCAUAAAGCAUUAAAUUCGCAUGUUUUUGAUGCCAAAGGAGCAAUCCGCUUUUAGAUGAGCUCGCGUCUGAUUAGCUAGUUGGCGGGGUAACGGCCCACCAAGGCGACGAUCAGUAGCCGGACUGAGAGGUUGAACGGCCACAUUGGGACUGAGACACGGCCCAGACUCCUACGGGAGGCAGCAGUGGGGAAUAUUGCGCAAUGGGGGAAACCCUGACGCAGCAACGCCGCGUGAUUGAAGAAGGCCUUCGGGUUGUAAAGAUCUUUAAUCAGGGACGAAACAAAUGACGGUACCUGAAGAAUAAGCUCCGGCUAACUACGUG
rnacentral:rRNA from 1 species